rnacentral:rRNA from 1 species
UGGUCAAGUUAUUAAGGGUGCAGGGCGGAUGCCUUGGCACUAGGAGCCGAUGAAGGACGUGAUAAGCUGCGAUAAGCUUCGGGGAGUUGCACGUAAACUUUGAUCCGAAGAUUUCCGAAUGAGGAAACUCACUUAGAGUAAUGUCUAAGUAUCAUUAAGUGAAUACAUAGCUUAAUGAGGGGAACUCAGGGAACUGAAACAUCUAAGUACCUGAAGGAAGAGAAAGAAAUUCGAUUCCGUAAGUAGCGGCGAGCGAACGCGGAUUAGCCCAAACCAAUAAAGUUUUCUUUAUUGGGGUUGCGGACAUAUCAUAACGAAGAGGUAUCGUAA